rnacentral:rRNA from 1 species
UACGUGAAACCGUUCAGGGGUAAACCUGAGAAACCCGAAAGUUCGAAGGCGGAGAUUCAGUAGCUUACCGUUGUUCGACGACCAUUUCGAGGCGGCGUAAUCAACUCGGCGUUCGCGCUGGGGUGCGUCCGUUCUCGGGGCGUCGUUCACGGCGCGUGCAUUUCUCCGUUAGUAGGACGUCGCGACUUGUUGGAUGUCGGUUUAAGGCCCGUUCGGUAGCCCGUCGGGUGCGAUUUGCGUCGCAUCCCGACGGACCGACGCGGUGUCCCGACCGACGUCCGACAGUGUAUUGUGGCGCAGGGCCGCCUUAGUUGGCGUCCGGCCCGUCGCAAAAUUUGCGCGUUCCGUCGAUCUUCGGUGCUCAGCCACCGGUUCGCGGACCGCAGGUUUCUUGCGGCGGCGUUCUCGGACAGACCCCGAUCACGCCCGUCUGCGACGCUAUUGCUUUGGGUACUUUCAGGACCCGUCUUGAAACACGGACCAAGGAGUCCAGCGUGUGCGCGAGUCAUUGGGUACUAUCGAAACCUAAAGGCGAAAUGAAAGUGAAGGCGUACUUAGCGUGCACUUAGGGAAGAUGGGCGCGUUUAUUCGCGCCUCGCACUCCCGGGGCGUCUCUUUCUCAUUGCGAGAAAAGGCGCACCAAGAGCGUACACGCUGGGACCCGAAAGAUGGUGAACUAUGCCUGGUCAGGACG